AUGGAGAUGAUGACAUCCGAAUUUUUGACUGUUGGUGAUUCUUUGCGUAUUCAUACUGUCUGAUCCAC